UACGAAGGGGGCUAGCGUUGCUCGGAAUCACUGGGCGUAAAGCGCACGUAGGCGGAUUGUUAAGUCAGGGGUGAAAUCCUGGAGCUCAACUCCAGAACUGCCUUUGAUACUGGCGAUCUUGAGUCCGGGAGAGGUGAGUGGAACUGCGAGUGUAGAGGUGAAAUUCGUAGAUAUUCGCAAGAACACCAGUGGCGAAGGCAGCUCACUGGCCCGGUACUGACGUUGAGGUGCGAAAGCGUGGGGAGCAAACAGG
rnacentral:rRNA from 1 species